UAUAUGUGAUAAAGCAAGAUAUGGUGUUGCAUUUGGAAAUCAGAAACCCAUCUCGAUCUCUUCUCGUGUCAUGAAGAGUGUUAUUGAGAUAAUGCAUUUUAGGAAGGUAUUCAAUUCGGUCUGAGUUGUGUUCAUCUUCUUGCUUGUUUGGUGAGUCUAGCUCCACAGUGGUGUUUUAGGAAGCUAAGGAUGAGGGGCCUUCCGCCGUUUUGCAGUUUUACAGCAAAUUAAAGCUGAGAGAAUAGGAAAAAUGCCGGAGUUUGGAUUGGGUAGCAAUGGCGGCCUUUCUUUUGCAGUCAUCAGUUUUGCUGGUCUCUAUUCUUCUCCGCCGAGUUGGUCAUCGGAAGGAAGGGAUGCUUGAGUCAUGGUCAAUAAAGUCAAAUCAGGCUCAAUAUGGCAGACAAGGCUUUAAAUGAUUUUCAAGUCAAAUUGUUGACUUUGCUUUGUAUCUCAUAUUUUUUGCAUUGUAGUAGGGAUUUUGUAUUUGACCCAUUAGAUUUGUUUGUAGCUUUUGGGCCAACAGUCCUUGCAUGGACUUUAUUUUGGCAGAUUUGCUUUAGGCCGUUUGGGGCUUGCUUGGAGUUCAACCCAGUGGAUGGUCUGCCAUUUUACACUUUGUGUUAAAAUGGUCAUCCUCCAUUUGGGCCGAGCAAGCCCUAAAUAUCUCUCGUAUUUUUAAUUGCCUUGGUGCAAUGCGUUUGAUCUCUCAAGUUUGGGUCGGGGUAUACCCCGCCCGCGUAUUUGUAAUUACAUCAUAAGGUCAGGGUUUUUGCCCCGUUCCUUUGGGAAUACA